GACGGAGGGGGCAAGCGUUGUCCGGACUCACUGGGCGUAAAGGGUGCGCAGGCGGUCCUGUGCGUCGGCGCUGAAAGCGCCCGGCUUAACCGGGCGAGGCGCGGCGAUACGACAGGACUGGAGGCUCGGAGAGGGUGGUGGAACUCCUGGUGUAGUGGUGAAAUGCGUAGAGAUCAGGAAGAACACCCGUGGCGCAAGCGACCACCUGGCCGAGACCCUGACGCUGAGGCACG
rnacentral:rRNA from 1 species